AGAGCGGUGGUGAAACUGGCAGUUGACGGCUCCUGGGACUAGAUCCCGCGAGGUAGCCCCCGAACUAUUUCUCUACGUUUUCUCUUGAUCCUCCCGAAAUCUUCCAGAUCCGCGUAGUGAGGAAUCGUCUCCACCGUCAUGGGGGGCGGAGACCUGAAUCUGAAGAAGAGCUGGCACCCGCAGACCCUCAGGAAUGUGGAGAAAGUGUGGAAGGCCGAGCAGAAGCAUGAGGCUGAGCGGAAGAAGAUUGAGGAGCUUCAGCGGGAGCUGCGAGAAGAGAGAGCCCGGGAAGAGAUGCAGCGCUAUGCGGAGGAUGUUGGGGCCGUCAAGUCAUCUUGGAAAUGAAAGCAUAAUAUAAAGACUCUGUAAAGGAGACUCGAGAAGCUCUGAGCCAAGAUCCACACCCCAUGUUGAGGAACACUGGUUUUCCUUAUAAAUUGCUUUAUGAAAAAAGAAGAAAAGUUGGACUGGAUGUACCAGGGUCCUGGUGGGAUGGUGAACCGUGACGAGUACCUGCUGGGGCGCCCCAUUGACAAAUAUGUUUUUGAGAAGAUGGAGGAGAAGGAGGCAGGCUGCUCUUCUGAAACAGGACUUCUCCCAGGCUCUAUCUUUGCCCCAUCAGGUGCCAAUUCCCUUCUUGACAUGGCCAGCAAGAUCCGGGAGGACCCACUCUUCAUCAUCAGGAAGAAGGAGGAGGAGAAAAAACGAGAGGUAUUAAAUAAUCCAGUGAAAAUGAAGAAAAUCAAAGAAUUGUUGCAAAUGAGUCUGGAAAAAAAGGAGAAGAAGAAAAAGAAGGAGAAGAAAAAGAAGCACAAGAAACAUAAGCACAGAAGCUCGAGUAGUGAUCGUUCCAGCAGCGAGGAUGAGCACAGUGCAGGGAGAUCACAGAAGAAGAUGGCAAAUUCCUCCCCUGUUUUGUCCAAAGUCCCUGGAUAUGGCUUACAGGUCCGGAACUCUGACCGUAACCAGGGUCUUCAGGGUCCUCUGACAGCAGAGCAAAAGAGAGGGCAUGGGAUGAAGAACCAUUCCAGAUCCAGAAGCUCCUCCCACUCACCCCCAAGACAUGCCAGCAAGAAGAGCACCAGGGAAGCAGGGUCCCGGGACAGGAGGUCUCGAUCCCUGGGCAGAAGGUCACGGUCCCCAAGACCCAGCAAACUGCACAACUCUAAGGUGAACAGGAGAGAGACAGGCCAAACUAGGAGCCCAUCACCUAAAAAAGAGGUCUACCAAAGGCGACAUGCUCCCGGAUACACCAGAAAACUCUCUGCAGAGGAAUUAGAGCGAAAACGGCAAGAGAUGAUGGAAAACGCCAAAUGGAGGGAGGAGGAGAGACUGAACAUCCUCAAGAGGCAUGCUAAGGAUGAGGAACGGGAGCAGAGGCUAGAGAAGCUGGACUCCCGGGAUGGGAAGUUCAUCCACCGCAUGAAGCUGGAGAGUGCAUCUACUUCCUCCCUGGAGGAUCGGGUGAAGCGGAAUAUCUACUCUUUACAGAGAACUUCGGUAGCUCUGGAGAAGAACUUUAUGAAAAGAUGAAAACUGUCCCCUCUCUUAUUGGUUUUCCUGCAUUUUCCAGGGAAGCUGCUGACCCCUUAAUUCUCUUUAUAAGAGUUCAAAUGACUUCUUUCACAGAUGUCAAACCACCAGUGUUCAAAGUGACCCUGCUUCAUUGAGUCCUGAAACAGCUCACUUCCUUUGAGAGCUAGUGUGACUUGCUUUGUGGGACACUCAGUAACUUUGGGUUUUGACUCUUUAACGGGUGGGCACUGGACCAUCUCGGUGGGAGUGCUUGUGCCACUCUGGAAGGCUGUUCCCUGGGGUUGUGAUGUUUAUCAUGCCACUUCCUUCUUACCUGUGCCAACAGACCUAUUUCACUGCCUCAGCGUACACCAGACCCUUCAGAAACCUCUCUGGUGUCACCCAGAUAGAUUGUGCUUACUGAGACAAAUGAACGUUUACUUGAUUUAGAAGAUAAUGUGACAGAAUGAUGUCAGGUUAGGUCAAAGCCAAGGGAGUGACAGAAUCUGGAAAAUCAAACAAUACAAAAAGCCCUAAAUGAACUGUUAACUAUUUGAUCUUUGGAUGUAAAAUUGUAAUGCGUAUAUGUACAAAUGUACAAUUUUUACAUGCUUUUAAAAAAGGUUAGCUUUGUGAAAAUACCUUGUUUGGUCAAUGACUUUACUGGGUAAUAGAACCACAUUGAACCUUGAUGGCAAGUAAUACAAUAAGGCAGGCCAGCUCGUUUUUCUCUCUGAAUCUGGCUGGUUUAGGAGGAGCCUGGGUUUAUCGACGAGAUCUGGAGUAUCUAUUCUUUUCCACUGCUUGCAGUCUCCAAUGUAGGCAGUGUAAAGGUAUAGUAAAAUGAUUUUAGGAGUCAGAACCAAAUUGCCAAUAUGCUCCAUGGCUCCUAAAGGAAAAUAAAAUGGAAGUUUUUAUUUUGCGGCUUCACUUCUUACCGUGUAGUAACCUUACUACAAUUACAGAUUUUCAGGAGUUGUUUGCUAGUCUCUUUCAGUCAGGUACUAAAAAAAAAACAAAAAACAGGCUGGGCGCGGUGGCUCACACCUGUAAUCUCAGCACUUUGGGAGGCUGAGGUGGGCGGAUCACGAGGUCAGGAGAUCGAGACCAUCCUGGCGAACACGGUGAAACCCCGUCUCUACUAAAAAAAUACAAAAAAUUAGCCGGGCGUGGUGGCGGGCGCCUGUAGUCCCAGCUACUCGGGAGGCUGAGGCAGGAGAAUGGCGUGAACCCAGGAGGCGGAGCUUGCAGUGAGCCGAGAUUGUGCCACCGCACUCCAGCCUGGGUGACAGAGCGAGAUUCCGUCUCAAAAAACAACAGCAACAAAACAAAACCCUCGAGGGGCCACUCUCCUGUCUUUACUCCUUUUCCCUUCUCUAUUCUUUCACCAGAAGCCCUCAUUUGACCAGUGAACUCCUAGGCCCUCUUGACCCGCACAUUAGCUGGGCGAUUUCCUUGUUCUGCUAAUUCCUAAUUCUGCUUAAAAUGUAUUUGGAUUUCUGUUUUUGAACACUUAUGAUGCCAGGCACUGUAAUGCUUGAAACCCGAUCUUUCCCUAGAGAAUGUAACAUACGUUUUUAUUCAUUUAAUCACUUCAUUAUGCCGGGGUUAAUUAUGUUUAUUUUAUAAUUGGUAAUAAAGGCCACAUUUAUUUUUGUAACUGUUUAAA